rnacentral:rRNA from 1 species
AUUGAACGCUGGCGGCAUGCUUUACACAUGCAAGUCGAACGGUAACAGGGGAGCUUGCUCCCGCUGACGAGUGGCGAACGGGUGAGUAAUGCAUCGGAACGUGCCGAAUAGUGGGGGAUAACGCACCGAAAGGUGUGCUAAUACCGCAUACGCACUGAGGGGGAAAGUGGGGGACCGCAAGGCCUCACGCUAAUCGAGCGGCCGAUGUCGGAUUAGCUAGUUGGUGGGGUAAAAGCUCACCAAGGCGACGAUCCGUAGGGGGUCUGAGAGGAUGAUCCGCCACACUGGGGCUGAGACACGGCCCAGACUCCUACGGGAGGCAGCAGUGGGGAAUUUUGGACAAUGGGGGAAACCCUGAUCCAGCCAUGCCGCGUGUCUGAAGAAGGCCUUCGGGUUGUAAAGGACUUUUGUCCGGGAGGAAACCCUGAUCGUUAAUAGCGGUCGGGACUGACAGUACCGGAAGAAAAAGCACCGGCUAACUACGUGCCAGCCGCCGCAGUAAAAC